UAGACUUGACAUCUCCUGAAUUACUCUGUAAUGGAGGAAGCCACUUCGGUGGCAGGAAGAC
rnacentral:rRNA from 1 species